rnacentral:lncRNA from 1 species
GUAACACUUCUCCUCCGCAAUCAUCGGCAAUACAUCAACCUGCUAUCACACCACCAAAACAAUGUCCUGUUACUAUGCUUUGUUCAUAUUCAUCUUUCGUCUCAGAAUUACAAGAGGAAGGUUACACAUUUUUCCUUCCUCCCAGCGACCUUCCACCAAAUUCUCAUCACGCCUCCCGAUCCUGUUUUAGCGUCCGUCUUUAGUGAGUUUGAAGAAAUCUUUCCAACAAACUUACCGAAAGCAUUGCCGCCACUCCGCAACAUACAACUUCAUAUCAAUCUUGUACAUGC